rnacentral:rRNA from 1 species
UGGGGAAUCUUGCACAAUGGGCGAAAGCCUGAUGCAGCCAUGCCGCGUGAGUGAAGAAGGCCUUAGGGUUGUAAAACUCUUUCAGCGGGGAAGAUAAUGACGGUACCCGCAGAAGAAGCCCCGGCUAACUCCGUGCCAGCAGCCGCGGUAAUACGGAGGGGGCUAGCGUUGUUCGGAUUUACUGGGCGUAAAGCGCACGUAGGCGGAUUAUUAAGUCGGGGGUGAAAGCCCGAGGCCCAACCUCGGAACUGCCCUCGAUACUGGUAAUCUUGAGUCCGGGAGAGGUGAGUGGAAUUCCUAGUGUAGAGGUGAAAUUCGUAGAUAUUAGGAAGAACACCAGUGGCGAAGGCGGCUCACUGGCCCGGUACUGACGCUGAGGAGCGAAAGCGUGGGGAGCAAACAGGAUUAGAUACCCUGGUAGUCCACGCCGUAAACGAUGGAUGCUAGCUGUCGGUGGGCAUGCCCUUCGGUGGCGCAGCUAACGCAUUAAGCAUCCCGCCUGGGGAGUACGGUCGCAAGAUUA